GGGUUGUGAGGUUAAGCGACUAAGCGUACACGGUGGAUGCCCUGGCAGUCAGAGGCGAUGAAGGACGUGCUAAUCUGCGAAAAGCGCCGGCGAGGUGAUAUGAACCUUUGACCCGGCGAUGUCCGAAUGGGGAAACCCAGUGCAAUUCGUUGCACUAUCGUUAACUGAAUACAUAGGUUAACGAGGCGAACCGGGGGAACUGAAACAUCUAAGUACCCCGAGGAAAAGAAAUCAACCGAGAUUCCCCCAGUAGCGGCGAGCGAACGGGGAGCAGCCCAGAGUCUGAAUCAGUUUGUGUGUUAGUGGAAGCGUCUGGAAAGUCGCACGAUACAGGGUGAAAGUCCCGUACACGAAAGCACACUUGCUGUGAACUCGAAGAGUAGGGCGGGACACGUGGUAUCCUGUCUGAAUAUGGGGGGACCAUCCUCCAAGGCUAAAUACUCCUGACUGACCGAUAGUGAACCAGUACCGUGAGGGAAAGGCGAAAAGAACCCCGGCGAGGGGAGUGAAAAAGAACCUGAAACCGUGUACGUACAAGCAGUGGGAGCAUCCUUCGGGGUGUGACUGCGUACCUUUUGUAUAAUGGGUCAGCGACUUAUAUUCUGUAGCAAGGUUAACCGAAUAGGGGAGCCGAAGGGAAACCGAGUCUUAACUGGGCGUUAAGUUGCAGGGUAUAGACCCGAAACCCGGUGAUCUAGCCAUGGGCAGGUUGAAGGUUGGGUAACACUAACUGGAGGACCGAACCGACUAAUGUUGAAAAAUUAGCGGAUGACCUGUGGCUGGGGGUGAAAGGCCAAUCAAACCGGGAGAUAGCUGGUUCUCCCCGAAAGCUAUUUAGGUAGCGCCUCGUGAACUCAUCUUCGGGGGUAGAGCACUGUUUCGGCUAGGGGGUCAUCCCGACUUACCAACCCGAUGCAAACUGCGAAUACCGAAGAAUGUUAUCACGGGAGACACACGGCGGGUGCUAACGUCCGUCGUGAAGAGGGAAACAACCCAGACCGCCAGCUAAGGUCCCAAAGUCAUGGUUAAGUGGGAAACGAUGUGGGAAGGCCCAGACAGCCAGGAUGUUGGCUUAGAAGCAGCCAUCAUUUAAAGAAAGCGUAAUAGCUCACUGGUCGAGUCGGCCUGCGCGGAAGAUGUAACGGGGCUAAACCAUGCACCGAAGCUGCGGCAGCGACGCUUAGGCGUUGUUGGGUAGGGGAGCGUUCUGUAAGCCGUCGAAGGUGUGCUGUGAGGCAUGCUGGAGGUAUCAGAAGUGCGAAUGCUGACAUAAGUAACGAUAAAGCGGGUGAAAAGCCCGCUCGCCGGAAGACCAAGGGUUCCUGUCCAACGUUAAUCGGGGCAGGGUGAGUCGACCCCUAAGGCGAGGCCGAAAGGCGUAGUCGAUGGGAAACAGGUUAAUAUUCCUGUACUUGGUGUUACUGCGAAGGGGGGACGGAGAAGGCUAUGUUAGCCGGGCGACGGUUGUCCCGGUUUAAGCAUGUAGGCGGAGGUUCCAGGUAAAUCCGGUACCUUUUAACGCUGAGGUGUGAUGACGAGGCACUACGGUGCUGAAGUAACAAAUGCCCUGCUUCCAGGAAAAGCCUCUAAGCAUCAGGUAACACGAAAUCGUACCCCAAACCGACACAGGUGGUCAGGUAGAGAAUACCAAGGCGCUUGAGAGAACUCGGGUGAAGGAACUAGGCAAAAUGGUGCCGUAACUUCGGGAGAAGGCACGCUGACAUGUAGGUGAAGCCCCUGCGGGUGGAGCUGAAGUCAGUCGAAGAUACCAGCUGGCUGCAACUGUUUAUUAAAAACACAGCACUGUGCAAACACGAAAGUGGACGUAUACGGUGUGACGCCUGCCCGGUGCCGGAAGGUUAAUUGAUGGGGUUAUCCUUUGGGAGAAGCUCUUGAUCGAAGCCCCGGUAAACGGCGGCCGUAACUAUAACGGUCCUAAGGUAGCGAAAUUCCUUGUCGGGUAAGUUCCGACCUGCACGAAUGGCGUAAUGAUGGCCAGGCUGUCUCCACCCGAGACUCAGUGAAAUUGAACUCGCUGUGAAGAUGCAGUGUACCCGCGGCAAGACGGAAAGACCCCGUGAACCUUUACUAUAGCUUGACACUGAACAUUGAGCCUUGAUGUGUAGGAUAGGUGGGAGGCUUUGAAGCGUGGACGCCAGUCUGCGUGGAGCCAACCUUGAAAUACCACCCUUUAAUGUUUGAUGUUCUAACCUGGCGCCCUAAUCGGGCGUGGGGACAGUGUCUGGUGGGUAGUUUGACUGGGGCGGUCUCCUCCUAAAGAGUAACGGAGGAGCACGAAGGUUGGCUAAUCCUGGUCGGACAUCAGGAGGUUAGUGCAAUGGCAUAAGCCAGCUUGACUGCGAGCGUGACGGCGCGAGCAGGUGCGAAAGCAGGUCAUAGUGAUCCGGUGGUUCUGAAUGGAAGGGCCAUCGCUCAACGGAUAAAAGGUACUCCGGGGAUAACAGGCUGAUACCGCCCAAGAGUUCAUAUCGACGGCGGUGUUUGGCACCUCGAUGUCGGCUCAUCACAUCCUGGGGCUGAAGUAGGUCCCAAGGGUAUGGCUGUUCGCCAUUUAAAGUGGUACGCGAGCUGGGUUUAGAACGUCGUGAGACAGUUCGGUCCCUAUCUGCCGUGGGCGCUGGAGAAUUGAGGGGGGCUGCUCCUAGUACGAGAGGACCGGAGUGGACGCAUCACUGGUGUUCGGGUUGUCAUGCCAAUGGCAUUGCCCGGUAGCUACAUGCGGAAGAGAUAAGUGCUGAAAGCAUCUAAGCACGAAACUUGCCCCGAGAUGAGUUCUCCCUGAGACUUAGAGUCUCCUGAAGGAACGUUGAAGACGACGACGUUGAUAGGCCGGGUGUGUAAGCGCAGCGAUGCGUUGAGCUAACCGGUACUAAUGAACCGUGAGGCUUAACCUUACAACGCCGAAG
rnacentral:rRNA from 1 species